rnacentral:rRNA from 1 species
GGACCCGCACAAGCAGUGGAGCAUGUGGUUUAAUUCGAUGCAACGCGAAGAACCUUACCCAGGCUUGACAUAUAGUGGACCGCUUGGGAAACCAAGCUUCUCGGAUGAGUCGCUAUACAGGUGCUGCAUGGCUGUCGUCAGCUCGUGCCGUGAGGUGUUGGGUUAAGUCCCGCAACGAGCGCAACCCUUAUCAUUAGUUGCCAGCGAGUAAUGUCGGGGACUCUAGUGAGACUGCCUAGGUUAACUAGGAGGAAGGUGAGGAUGACGUCAAGUCCGCAUGGCCCUUAUGCCUGGGGCUACACACGUGCUACAAUGGUCGGUACAGAGGGCUGCAAAACCGUAAAGUCAAGCAAAUCCCAGAAAGCCGGCCCAGUUCGGAUUGUCGUCUGCAACUCGACGACAUGAAGCCGGAAUUGCUAGUAA